UUCCGAUGCGUCUGCAAUCAUUGCAGCCAGACCUAAUUCCACCAACUCCGUUCCAAGAGAAUUCGGCACUACGUAUGUUUACAACAAUCCACUGACGAUCGAACCUAUAGUCCCUACCACAACGACUGAGGUUGUCGGUAACACACAAGGAUAUUACAUCAUUUAUCCAGGUGAUGAGGAUGUGGCGAUGGGUGUGAUAAUGAACUUGGUGUUGAAGGAGAAGAUAUUUAAAGAUAGUAUUUUGACGUUUGAAGGAAGGAUUUUAUCUGGUACCAAUAUUAUAAGGGAGGUUCCGGUGAUCGGAGGAACUGGUGUGUUUAGAUAUGCCACCGGAUAUUACCAGUCUCAAAUGAUUUCUGUUGAUCCAAAAACCGGUCAAAAUAUCGUUAUGUUCGAUAUUUAUGUUAAUAUAUACUCUGAAUCUCUUACUCAAUCCAUUUGUAAUGUGUGAUAUAUGAUAUAUCCUUAAUUAUGUUACUGUAAUAUAUACCUUUUUAUAUAUAAAGGGUUUGAAUUUAAUAUUUCUAGAAGUAAAAAUAUCUACAUUCUCGUGAUAUAUCAAAAAUAUAUAAAUUUAAUGAAACUACAUACACAACGAAACUCGAAUCCUAAAGUUGAAAAUAAAAUUCACUCAGUGAAAAACACAUUUUUUUUCCUUUUUUUUUUCCUUCUUUCUUUCUUUUUUCUUACAUUUGAUUGAUGUUUAUUACAUGAAUCUGUUUUUUUUUAUAUACAUUAGGGUAAUAAUUCACAUACUCAUUUAAUUAUAUACCUAAAAUAAUUCAGAGAAAUCAUAAAUUUGUAUUUCAAGGGAAUUUAAAUUAAGACAUAGGUUAACUUAGAGUAAUUAAAUACUGCCAAUAUAUAUAAAUCCAAAUAUGGAAUUAUAUAUAAUUCUUAAUUUCAACAAUAUUGGAAUUUAGAAUUAAGUUUACAAUAUAUAUAUCUUAUUCAUUGAUUGAUAUUUUUUUGUUGUUGUUUUACAUUUGUAGUUUAAUAAGUCAAGUCAUUAAUUACAUAUCAUUGUUUAUUAGAACUUGGUACUGCUAUCACUGAUUGCAGAGAUGAUUAGAUCUGAGUUGCUGCUAUAGAUGAUGAUCUGAAUUCAUAAUUUCCAGAAAGGAUCAAUUAUAGAAGUAGUCAAUGAGUAUAAAAAUAACAACCUACUAAUUAAUCUAAAUGAAUAGACUAAAUAAUCUUGGUAAAAUAAUCUUCAUUAUCUAAAUGAAGGACAAAUCAAGAUUUUUUUUAAUCUAAUACACACUAACCACUUAAGAAAUAGACUUGGUGGUUAAUUUUGAACACAGUCAUUUUAGAAGGCUAUAAUUGAAACCCACUAUUGGUUUGUGGGCUCGCCGUCUAGCCUAGUACAAGUGUUCCUUCGAGAAUUAUCAACCUCCUCCCUUAUUGGACCAGGUGAGGUAUUUAUAACCUCCUCUUGCUGUUCUUGGACCUCGUGGGCUCGCUCGUCAGACCUUAUUCGUUCGUCCGGGCCGUCGACGAGGCUGGUUCGGUCCAUGGGCCGCGGUCGGCGGUCCAUGGUACCAACACCCACCCUUCCAGAAAUUGUUGACAAGUUGCUGCGAGAACUAUUACAAUGUCCAAAAGUUAUUGUCCAGAAUUGUUAUUACAAUAUUCAGAAUAUUACAAUAUCACUUUAACAACGUUUUGGUAUGAUUCUAUUGCAGUUCCGUUUUUUCUAAAUUAAAAUAGUUUACACUCAAUACAGAUUUCUAAAUAUUAUAAUAGAUUUGUAAUAUUCCAUUAGAAAUCUAACUAAAUUGGAAUUCGAAUUCAAAUUUAUUUGUAACUCUAAGAUUGAAAAGAUAGCAUAUAAAUUGUAGGAUAAAAUUGAAAAAAGAUAAUUAUACAUGAGAUAGUAUAAAAUUUUAUUUUGGCUAUUUUUAGAUUUCAAUCAAUUUAUAUAUAUAAAAUAUUUGAAUCUCCAAAAUGACUAAAUGAAAGUUAGGUUAUAAAUUAAUUGCGCAUUGAAAAAACUCACAAGAUACAAAAAUAUUUCACUUUCAUUGACUAUAGUGGUGUCAAGUGGUUAAAAAUUAAGCUAAUUAAGCCGCCCAGGCCAUAAGAUCGAUGGUGUGCAGUUUCAAAAAUAUGACGAACAAAGCAAAACUAACGAGCUAAGCAACCUAGCACUUUAAUCUUCUAUAAAUACAAACAUAUGGGAAACAAGUACCAGCAGUCAAUCCAAUAAUAGCGAAACUCUUCUCAGUCACAAUCCUCUUCAUACUUUCAAUCGCCUCGGUCGUCCUGAUCUCCUUUUGCGAUGCUCAGGGGGGCAAAUCCGUGUUGAAAGAUGUGCGGAAACCGUUGAAACUUCAAGAAACGGUGUUAACGCACCUCACUUUCUACUGGCACGAGUCGUUCGUCGGCCCCAAUGCGUCCGCUGUCAUUAUAGCCGGAGUUAAUUCCACCGACUCAGCUACAAGAGCAUUCGGUACUACGUAUGCUUACGACAAUCCUCUGACGAUAGAGCCUAUAGUCCCUACAACAACGAGUGAGGUUGUCGGUAGAGCACAAGGAUAUUACACCAUGUAUCCAAGUGACGAUGAGAUAGCAAUUGGUGUGAUAAUGAACGUCGCUUUGAAGGAGGAGAUGUUUGCCGAUAGUAUUUUGACGUUCGAAGGGAGGAUUUUAUCUGGUACCGGUUUUAUAAGAGAGGUUCCGGUGAUCGGAGGAAGUGGUGUGUUUAGGUAUGCUACUGGAUAUUAUCAGUCUCAAAUGCUUAACUCUGAUUCAAUCACUGGUCAAAAUAUCGUUAUGUUCGAUAUUUACGUUAAUAUGCUUUCGGAACCUCUUACUAAAUCCAUAUAAUAAGUAAUUAUAUCUAUGCUUAAUUAUAUAAAGAUGUGAAAACCCUAUUUACAUAUAAAGGGUUUGAAUGUAAUAUUAAUUAUGAAAUUAAUUACGUCUUUUCCCCUACCUAAUUAAUCUCUUAAUUUGAACAUCUUUUAGUUGGAGGAAGCAAGGAGAUUUCUCACGAUAACUAUUAAAGUUUUUGAAUGUUUAAGAAUCUAUUCUCGAUGUGUGAGUAAUUUUCAUUUAAUUUUCAAUAUGAUGUAACUAAUGAUAUAUUAUAUAGUUAUGAUAUAUCACUCGAAAGUAGGUAACUUCAGUUAUCAAAAAAAAUCUCCAAGUUGAAAAAGAUGUGUUAAUUAAGAAAUACCUUAAUCCCUAAUUAAAAUGAGUUCAACCUUGCUAAUCUGAUCAAUCGACACGGAGAGAUUAGCAGUUCACAUGACCAGACAUUUUUAAGGUUUUUAAAGAUUUAAAAUUUGAGUCUUGUGAUAUAUCAUUGGUAGGUAGACAUUUUUAGAGGUAUCUUCUGUUAUCUAAAAAAUCGAUCUACUGUUAAAAAAAUUAUGAAACAACAAUGCUCACUUUAGGAUUGAAACAUACAACUAAAGUCUUUAUUGUUUAAGCGGCAUACUGUGUUUGGACUAUCUUCUGUUAUCUAAUAACCUGGAGGUUGAGAAAUAAACACAGUUUCUUUUAACUCUCCUUGAAAGAAAGCAUUUUUCACAUUCAACUGUCUAUUUACAAAUAGAGAACAACAUUCUAAUUGUAGAGGUUUUAACUACUAAUUGUUUAAGCGGCAUACUAUAUAUUAGUCUAUAAUAAACAUUAAAAAAUGAUUACGAACGGAUUAAGGACGACUUAGAGAAGUAAAAAUAUUUAGAAAUGGAAAUAAAAAUUUGGACGGCAAAUUAAUGACAUGGAAAAAUAAUUAACGACGACCAAGUGAAAUUGCACGCCAAUCCUCGUGUGCGCCAAACAAAAUUAUUAGCGACGGCGAAGACACUCCUUAAUUAGCCGUCCCUAGCUAAAACAUGGCCACCCCUAGCUAAACACAUGGGUGCCGCAGAAAAUUACUUUGAUUUAAAACUAAAUUGUCAAGAGUCAAUUACAAUCGAUAUCACUAAACUAUUUAUAAUGCCAUAAGUCGUUUGCUUAUUUAAGCAACUAACUGUUUUAUUAACUAACUCUAAUCAACUUGAAUUUAUCUAAGAUUGAUUAACUGAUUUAUGUGAUAAAUGUCAGUAAUUAUUCUUCUGACAAUAUAUAAGGGUCGCAUAAUAUAUUAUCGAUUAAUAAAACUCUGAACCUUCUGCAAUCUUUAUAGUUUUCAGUGAUCAGUUGAAUUAUAUAUUUUAUCUUUAAUUUCUUUUACAGACUUUUUUUGGGUUGGAUUAAAAACGUUUAAAACCAUGUAAAAAUUAUCUGCAGACAUUAAUUGUGUAAUUUAUGACAAUCUUCUCAAUUGUAUAUUGUUACACGUAAGUUGAGACACGUAUUCCGACACGUAAGUUGAUAUGGUUAUUAAUGAUACACGUAUUCCACUACAAGAGAAAGACUUUUUUACGAUAAGAUAAAAGAUAAAAGACAUAAGAUAAAAGACAAUGUUGAACAUCAAUCAUUGAAGAUAAAAGAUAAGAUAUUGAGAUGUAGCAAUCAACAAUUUUUUUAUAAAUACAACCCUAGCUUUUGAGGAUACAAUUAACUAUCAAUUCGUCACUUCAAUUUAAUUCCAAUGGCGAAAAACUUCUCUUGCAGUUCUAAGGAGGGGAGAUCUGUGUUGAAAGAUGUGGGAAAAUCACCAAAACUUCCAGAACCGGUGUUAACCCAUCUCAAGUUCUACUGGCACGAGUCGUUUGUGGGUUCUGAUGCGUCUGCAAUCAUUGUAGCCGGACCUAAUUCCACCAACUCCGCUCCAAGAGAAUUCGGCACUACGUAUGUUUACAACAAUCCACUGACGAUCGAACCUAUAGUCCCUACCACAACGACUGAGGUUGUCGGGAACGCACAAGGAUAUUACAUCAUUUAUCCAGGUGAUGGGGAUGUCACGAUGGGUGUGAUAAUGAACUUGGUGUUGAAGGAGGAGAUAUUUAAAGAUAGUAUUUUGACGUUUGAAGGAAGGAUUUUAUCUGGUACCAAUAUUGUAAGGGAGGUUCCGGUGAUCGGAG
rnacentral:lncRNA from 1 species